CACCCCCACACCCCCUUACCCCCCGCCACUGUAGGAUAUUUCUCGGGUGGAAAUUUGCAGAAUUACUAGCUGUCUUUCAAGCUAAGAGAUAAGCAAGGGGGAGACAAUUUAUAGUCCAGUAUGUUACAAGUAUUCAGAACCUAUUUUGUUGAUUGAAUAAUUGACCUAAAUAUGCAAGGAGGCUCACAGAGAGAAGAGGAGAGAGAAACAGGGGAGGAUGGGUCCUAGUAUCAGCACUGGAACACAUUGGAUUCAACCAAAAGAAGUUUCUGUGGCUGCUUAUCUAAAAUCUCCCGUCUUGGAUAUGCUAGACUUUCUAUGUCAAGUUUGCAUUCGGGCAGGCUGUCAGCACACCUCCAAACUUUCACAUGCCAACAGCUGUAAUUAAGGGAUGCGCUGAGUGUAGAUUGUGUUGACCGUGGGUCGAAAUUCUGCAAACCGGACUCUGGAAUUCCAGCUCUUAAAGUUCCAAUGAAUGCAAAGGAACUGGAGAACACGGUCAAAACACCAAGUAA